rnacentral:lncRNA from 1 species
CUUUUCCAGCAGUUCUCGGACAGCAUUUCAUUGGAAACUGCAGACUUCGGACUGUUUCUCUCCUGGGAAGGUGCCUGUUUAAAUAAAGAAUAGAAAAAUGCUAUCACUGAACAGCUACAACUUCAUGCCAAUGUUCAGUACAGUCUAACAUGACCAAAACCAAAACUAAGGCUCACUUUCUAGCUGGUCAGAAACAGAUAAAUAAACAGGUCAUUUCUCACCUGCAAUCAUCGCUGCAUUCCCCCACUGGAUCUCAGCUCUCACAUGACAAGUUCACUCUGCUCAUAAGUGGCGUUCACAUGUGGCAAAAUGGUUUACCCUGCUCGAUUGACCCAUCUGUUCCUCAAUUCCUGCCAGUAUCCUGCUCUCAAGGUAAAUGCUACUGACUAAAACUUCAGAAGAAAGAAGAAAAUAAUCCAGAAAUUGGGAUGACUCAGAGGUUUCUUCCAGUGUGAUACUUUAUGUUAGACAAGUUUUGAAAGAUAUGGGAAUUUUCCAUGGGAGUAGAAUUUGUGGUUCCUGAAGACAGCUACCAGCCACAUUCUGUCAGACUGCCUUUGAAUUCAGCUCCCUAAAUCCUUCAUACAGAGUGGUUUUCCUGAGCUUCCCUUAACAAUUUAUUUUCCACCAGAAUUUUUCAUUUUGUCACUGUAACAGCCAAUUUCACAAUUUGUACACUUGCUAUUGACAGCAGAAGUCAUACUAGACGCGUCAUUGGCUUUCUGUCACCUAAUCAAGAGUGUCUCAAAAUCCAGGCACUUAUUUGGAUACUUCAAGAAUACUUCACAUUUGGGGAAGGAAAAGAAAAUUGGUGGGGCAUUAUUUUGUAUAAUUCAGAAUUUAUUUUUCCUUGGGGAGCUGUGUUUUGUUUCUGUUUUUGCUUCCUGGGAUACACUAACAGAGGGAUUGAGACACCUAACUUGCCUUUUAAUAACCAAACAAAAAUAAAGCAGAUCACCAAAAUAUGUCAUUGGCAGCCACAGAAAGGAUGGGACUCUUAAGUCUUCAGAGGAUACAUUCCCUAGCUUCCAAAAGCUUACAUGGUUCAAAGCUCAUUGUUGGCACUGCCAGAUGACUGGGGACUACCUCCUCCCAAGCCACCCGCCAAUUCAUGACAGGGCAAGAAUUCAAAGAAAUCCCUCAGCUUUGCAUCUCGCUCCAGAAACCUCAAAAAGAAAGGCUAUUUACCUCUAACUCCUCUGAGAUCUGCUGUCUGUUCACGUUGACAGUGAAUUUACUGUGCAAACAGUGGAAGUCAGAGAAUUUCCACCUCAGCAGUACUCACAGAAGUGCACGUACCUUGCUUCUUACCGCACUCUUGCAGAGGGUAGGCCAACGAGCUGAAGUGUCAUGACAAGCUCAAACCAAUCAUCCUGCACUUAGACUGCUAAGUACUUCAACUCUUCUUAUCAAAGGUCCAGUCAUGGAAGUAGACUUUCUGAAGACUUCUGUCAACUCAAAAGGAAGGAACACCUGCAAUGCCCAGUAAUGCAUAUAACACCAUUAAGAAAGUGAAAUUUGAAAGCUUAUGCCAUCUCAAGGAAGCACUGAAGUUCUUUCCCCUUUUCUCGCAGGCAAUAACAAACAGGACAGUCCAGUGAAGAAAGGGAAGAUCCCUCCUGUCUGUUCAAGGGACUUUGAGAGCUCUCCCACUAGGGUGCAAGAAUGCAGUGAAACUUCCCAUGUGUGGGCACAAGCCAGAGAUGGCUGCUAAGUGCUCUGAAACUGCAAGAGAGAAAAUCUCACCCUUUUCAACUCCAGUAAGCAACUUGGGACACAGGCAAGACAGCUCAAGAGAGACAGUAGCCUCUUUGCACACCAGGCAGGAAAUCCCAUCUAUUUGCACAUAGUGACAUAUCUCAUGGGAUUGUUCUUGAAAAUAAGCACAGUUUCUCUUACUAAUGGACAAUCAAGCUUCUGCCAGACCUCAUGCAGUCUUCAGGUCACAAAACAGGAGUCGAGACUUGCCUGCUAGCACCUGAGAAGGGCAAUAAAACUCUUCAGGAACGGAGAGACAGGACAGUCCAAGGUUCCAAUCCCAGAGCUACUGGAUACAUACCUACAGGAGGACCUGAAACGAAACCCUCCUCAACCACAAUCACAGCAGGCUGUGCCCUGACCCUGCAGGCUACUUCGGAAGUGAGAGGAGUAAAAAAGAAGGCUAAUGCAUGCCUGACUUGGAAAUGGAGAAUGCAUCUACCAUGGAUCACAGGCUGACUCUGAAGGAAAAGGACUGUUCUUUUCUUAAUUCAGAAGGCAUGAAAGCCAAACUCCAGGUACUUCAAGUUCAAAAUAUAUAGGGUUUUUUCCCUGUGAUCUGUGUCUUAGUUUCAGCUGGGCCAGAAUUGUUUUCUUCAGAGUGCCUGGUAUGAUGCUAUGUUUUGGUUCUAGAAGAAAAACAAUGUUGAUAACACAUCAAUGUUUAUAGUUGUUGCCAAGAAGUGUUGUACAGAGCCAAGGCCGUUCCAGUGUCUCCGUGAAGAGCUGGUGUGGGGGCCCAAGGAGCUGGGAGGGAAUGGAAUCAGGACAGCUGACUUAAACUGGCCACAGAUAUUCCAUAGCAUACGACUUUACGCAGAAGGAGAGUUUUGAAGGGGUAGGAGUUCGUCUGGCCCUCCUCCACUGCUUUGGGAGCUAGGUAGGCGUUGAUUGGUGGAUGGUGAGCAAUUGCUUGUGUAUCACUUGUUUUAUAUACAUUCAUAUAGUCUUGACUAUAUCCGUGUACCUAUCUAGUCAUGCUUAUUUUCUUUUUCUCUAUUUUGUAAGUAAAUUUAUCUCAACUCAUGAGUUCUACUUUAUUUGUUGUUGUUUUUUUAUUAUUUUCUCCUUCAUCCCACUGGGAAGGGGGAGGGGAGAGAGUGAAGCAAUGGUGCUUAGCCACCUGUUGUGUUAAACCACAACAGUACAGUACUAUUCAAAUCUAUAUUCUAGAAAGGCGAAGAACAGACAGCCACACCAGCGGCUCAGAGCAUGUGCUUCAAGUGAUCUUGCUUGCAUGAACAUCAGAAGAUGAACAUCUUAUAUAACCCCACUUGUCCAUUCUCAUCGCCUGGUCAUACAUCUUGUUUUGCCUGUGCUACUACUGUAUCACACGUUCCCCAACUGUACUGGCUUUCUUUUAGAAAAAAUAUCAAAUAAUGCCAACAGCAUAUUCAAUACCACAGAGCUCUAACUUAUCUUUUGCAGUAUUUUCUUUUUCUAGGAUUAAACUGCUGGCAACCCAUGUUAGCAGCUAAAUUAAAGCAAAGAAGUCUAAGCAAUAGGUGCUCUUACUAGAGACUCAGACUCACUAAUUAACUUCAGAGUUAAUAGACUCCAGAUUCUUCAACCUGUGGGAAAUGGGAAACGCAACUUACUAACUUUUAGAGGAAGUAUGAUUUUUGUUUAAGUAUAUCUAUAAAUAAAGACUUCAUACUGCAACAUAAACCACUCCGUAGCAUGACAGAAGUUGUGUCUUUUGAAAAGAAACAGUCAGACUUUUGCGCAAAGGAGCAGCAUGGAUUCUUUUCUCUCCUACCUCCAACUCAAAAAUGCAUUUUCCCUUAUCACAGUCAGCACUGGAGAAGACAGCUGCAUCUGUCAGGCGCCUCUUUCUGCCAGAAUUGUAACCUGCCUCCUCUAGCUAGUAAGAGGUCUGUCAGUCAGGAAACAGUGAUGCAAAGAUACCGUCAGGAAGAAAAUGAAAAAGAGGAGCUUUGCUAAAGUAGGAUUUUGCUCUUAGUAAUUAACAGUAACAAAUUCCACACUAGCUCAUAGCAAUUUUCUAUCUAAGGACAGAAGUAAAGACAAGGAGAACAAUACAUGGUACAGUUAACUGCCAAAAGAAAUACUGGAAUACACCCUCCCGUGAACUGCAAAAUAGGAAAAAUUGAGGGAUUAAUAGUUUUAGCAAGGCCAGGUAAACAGAAGACAUCAAGAAGCUGAAGUUAAAAAAAAAAAAACGUCACAACAACAACAAAUGAAUUUCAAUCUGUUAGGACUAAAGAACCCAGGUUUCCUAACUAAUAGCAAUGACUUGAACUACUUAACUACAAACAAGGCUCUUGAAGAAAUUAUGCCCUUCAAAUUAUUUACAUAACAGCUGGGAGUUUUGAUCUUCCCUGCCCUGCAACUUCUCUCUUCCAACUGCAAAACCUUUCAUAUCCUCAGUAGUUCUCCCCCAUCACAAAACAGUGAAAAAACCCUGAUCAAAACAAAAAAGAAAUGUAGAACCCAGAAGAAAAUGGGGCCUGAGGUAAUCAAUUCAGGGGUCUACUCAUUGCUUUCUUUAGCACGCUUCCCCUGGUUCUGAGCAGCCCAGUGUUCUGAGGGAACACUGAGUAGUUUGACAUAUCACAAGGGGGAGGGAGAAGAUGGUAACAAGUGGUUGUUCCUUUUACCUUGGCUGUAAAUCUGAGUGCAACACACAGCACACUGCAUCAAUUCCAAACAACUGCAGGCAGAUAUACAGCAUACUGCUUGCCCUGACCAAGUCACAGAGCAGCAGAUUAAAAAUAAGACUCUCUGGCAAGAGGUAAAAAUGCUCAAAUGUGUUGCAAUCACAAGUCCAGAUUUAAGGAGGUCUGAAUUCUCCUAAUUCUGGAAAAACACCGCUACUAGCUUGACAGAGUAAGCCUGCCACACACCCCAAACAGCCCAACAGCAGGUGCAGCUGUUUAUGAAGCAUUUUUAAAGAGCAAUAUGGUGAAAGAAGGCUAUUCACUAGAAGUAAAAAAAUAAUUUUCAAAUCAGUUCAAAUUGAAUCUUUUAUAUGGGUAGUGUGGCAUCUAUAGCAUGGCGGAUUUUAGGGUGAGAAAUACCAAGGAAGUACAAUUUCUGCCAUCCAAAUUACCCAAGAACAUAAAUCUUAAAGGAGACAAUCUAGUCACCAAUGCCACAACUGCUUUUCUUUAACUCCAGCAAAUCUGGUAACAGAUCACAAAAUCUAGGGGUUGUUUCACUGCAUUUUUAGUGUUAAAAUACUGCAUGUUAUGACAGGCUUCUAGGAGGAGAGUUGACGAUUGACAGCAACUCCUCUAGUUCUUGGAAAGGAUUCAUACCAAAAGGAACCACACUAAGCCAUCUGAUACCACAAAUCACAUACCACACAGACCCCAAAACCUCCCUUUCUGCCACAGGGACUUAAACUUAGCACUGCCUGAACAGCAAGACCAGGCAUGUGAACUCACUAAAGAGACCAUUUGUCCUUUUGCAUAGGAUGUUUUUACUCUGUCACUCAGGAGUUCCCUUGUAGAGAAGGCAGACAUACUCAGUGCUGACAUUAUGUAGCUAUCAGCAUUCACCAGGAAUCAUUUGGCAUCAAUCUCAUUAGAUUAUUUUUUUUUUCUUCCUCAAGCUGCAAGUACACUUAUUUUUCCUAUGUGGAACUGUUUGCCUAUGCCUAUGUCUGCCUGACUUGAUCAUCAUGAGGGAUGAAAGCAGGAUGUUUGUAUCAAAAUACCACUCAAAAACACUAGCAUUUAUACUUCAAUCUCUGAUCAUUAUUUAACCAACUUCAGUUGUGAUUUAGAAAAAAAGAGAAAACAUUCUGAAUCCACUUAAAGAGAUGAAAGAAAAAAAAAUAUAUAUAUAUAUAUAUAUAUGCGAUUCAGUACAAGCAACAAGAGGCAGGCAGGAACAUCUAGAUUGUUUUUUCAAAGCAUUAACCACUAUGACUGUUACCUCCAAGAAUUAAACAGAACAGGCUCUCCAGUGUUUGACCUCCAGAAGGUAAUGCUCUCAAGACAGUGACCGUAAACACCAAGCUGGCAUGCCCAGUGCCCACAGCAAUAGAUCCAAUUACUUAACCAACAAGCAUUAAAAAGCAAAUCCAGCAUGUAAGGCUCCUAUUGCAUUGUGAAUUCAAAUACAUGUAUUUGCAGAUAUAAAGAUGAGAGAACAGCACCCCUGCUACUUCUCUAUACUAUACAUGCUCUGAUUUCUUACGUUUACUUACACAUUUUGUUUUCUUAAUCUUUCAUCUUUGUUUUUCUUCUUUCUUUUUCUCUAGUGUUUGCCUGUUUGGAAGCACUACACUCUGACUCAAAACAGAACAGUUAUUUGAUUUGAUGACGAUUUGUUUUGUGAAUGUUGUUCUCCCCACAACUGUUCACUGGAAUUUUUCUGACUUGGCUAGCAUAAAAUACUAUUUUGUUCUUCUGUCAAUUACAGAAGCAUAGAUUUAGGUGUUCAGUCUCAUACUAAUUACUCAUCAAUACUUUUGGAUUUUCUAAUUAAUGGUCCAGUUCAAAUAAUUUAUGUAGAUGAGAAACAAGAAACAAAUCUUCAGUAAGCUUUACUAAGUACACUGUAUAAGCCAAUGAGUUAAUGUGCUGACUACCAUUUCUAAGUUUAAGAUUUAUAGAAUGAUACAAGGCGAAGUAAAAACAAACAAACAAAAUCAAGCAAUAUGUACCAGAUACUGCAGCCCUAAGUACACUUGAGGAACUGAGUCUGGCUGCAAUCAGAUCUCAAUGAAAACCUCUUCGCAAGCAGUCACUUUCCUUUCCCCUGCCCCACUGCGUGGUGGUGGGGUUUGCCUUCCUCCCUGAAAGCCCUGAAGACCAGCACCAAACAAGGCAUCUCUGCAGGCCUCCACAUUUGCACCUCAGCUGCUACACUGCCAAGCAGUCCAGCACUGGAUCGUUGUCACACAAUGUAGGGAAAAUGUUGCCACCAGUCUCCUCGAUUGGCAGGAAACAAUACAGAGGAAG